UCCUAAACUGCCGGAUAGGAACAUAAGGAACUGCCCCUGCUGCAGGGAAUCUCUGGGGGCGGACUGCACGAACGUCCAGUGCUAGAGGCUGUGAUGGUGGCACUGGGUUCUCACUUGAUGUUGUUGACGUGGGUCUGCUUCGUGGCUGUGAUGAUGGCAUAGAACCAUCAUUUGCAGUUGGUGAUGGAGGUCUGUUUCGAGGAGGUGUCUUUUGGCAGAUUAAAGGGAGAAUUUUUGAUGUGGCAACAGGAGGCAGCUGAGGACUAAACAAUCUUGAAUUCUGAAUUGGAAAUUUCUUUGGGAAAGACAACGUGCCACUAGGGGAGUUUGCUAUUGCC
rnacentral:lncRNA from 1 species